rnacentral:rRNA from 1 species
GACGUAGGGCGCAAGCGUUGUCCGGAUUUAUUGGGCGUAAAGAGCUCGUAGGCGGCCUGUCGCGUCGACCGUGAAAACCCGCAGCUCAACUGCGGGCUUGCGGUCGAUACGGGCAGGCUGGAGUUCGGUAGGGGAGACUGGAAUUCCUGGUGUAGCGGUGAAAUGCGCAGAUAUCAGGAGGAACACCGGUGGCGAAGGCGGUUCUCUGGGCCUGUUCUGACGCUGAGGAGCGAAAGCGUGGGGAGCGAACAGG